AUUCAUUCUGUGCUAUUUUUCAGUGUGAGUCAGUGAGUGACCGGUGACUGGCUGCUGCAGCCAAUGAUGCGAUUCACAUACGUAUUUACCAUAGACUGUAUAUAAUGGUAUUUACGCAGCUAAUCUACGUCAGGCGUCCUUAUGUGCAGCCAUCGUUGUUGUCAUAGAUAUGAAUGAGUAGAUAGGACACGCCCCUUUGAGCUGCGGCUACAGCGAGGCUAAGCUAGUGGGGGCAAAGUUUCAGUGCAUUCCGUUGAUGUAGACGGCGUGAAAACGGAAACAAGAAGUAUGCCGGCUCACUGUGCUGCAUACAGUUACACACUGCGUCGUACGAUUGAGACAAGGAAACUUGGAAUGACUUUUCAUAGGUUUCCCAGAGACUAUGGGUUGAGGAGGAAUUGGAAGUUUGUCGGCUUAGACCUGGUGUCAUUCCAUCAGUGUUAAACUUCCCGGCUCAUCUUGGAAGAGUACGUACCAGAAAGACCACGACCAAGCAGCCUUGAGAUGUUAGGCAGCGUCUCCCUCAGACCAAAGAACUACAGACUCUUCACAAC
ensembl:lncRNA